rnacentral:rRNA from 1 species
GAUGAACGCUAGCGGCAGGCCUAACACAUGCAAGUCGAACGGUAACAUGAGAGCUUGCUCUUGAUGACGAGUGGCGCACGGGUGCGUAACGCGUAUGCAAUCUACCUAUAACUGAGGGAUAGCCCAGAGAAAUUUGGAUUAAUACCUCAUAAUAAUAUUUUUUGGCUUCAUUAAAUAUUUAAAACUCCGGUGGUUAUAGAUGAGCAUGCGUUCUAUUAGUUUGUUGGUGAGGUAAAAGCUCACCAAGACUACGAUAGAUAGGGGGCCUGAAAGGGUGAUCCCCCACACUGGUACUGAGACACGGACCAGACUCCUACGGGAGGCAGCAGUGAGGAAUAUUGCACAAUGGAGGAAACUCUGAUGCAGCCAUGCCGCGUGCAGGAUGACGGCCCUACGGGUUGUAAACUGCUUUUUUACAAGAAGAAACCUUGGUACGUGUACCAACUUGACGGUAUUGUAAGAAUAAGCACCGGCUAACUCCGUGCCAGCAGCCGCGGUAAUACGGAGGGUGCAAGCGUUAUCCGGAUUUAUUAGGUUUAAAGGGUUCGCAGGCGGAAUUUUAAGUCAGUGGUGAAAGCCUAUAGCUCAACUAUAGAACUGCCACUGAUACUGAUAUUCUUGAGUGUAGAUGAAGUGGGCGGAAUAUGUCAUGUAGCGGUGAAAUGCAUAGAUAUGACAUGGAACACCAAUUGCGAAGGCAGCUCACUAAACUAUUACUGACGCUCAUGAACGAAAGCAUGGGGAGCAAACAGGAUUAGAUACCCUGGUAGUCCAUGCUGUAAACUAUGAUCACUAGAUGUUGGCGAUAUAUUGUCAGUGUUUAAGAGAAAUCGUUAAGUGAUCCACCUGGGGAGUACGUUCGCAAGAAUGAAACUCAAAGGAAUUGACGGGGGCCCGCACAAGCGGAGGAACAUGUGGUUUAAUUCGAUGAUACGCGAGGAACCUUACCAAGGCUUAAAUGUAGAUUGACAGAUUGUGAAAACAGU